rnacentral:tRNA from 1 species
UUGCGAGUGGCAGAGUGGUAAUGCACCCGGCUGUUAACCGGUAUUCCAUCGAAAGAUGGCGAAGGUUCGAUCCCUUCCUCGCGAGCCA